GGGUAUUACAGACCUCCUUGGUUCUUUCAGGCAGAUUUUCUUAAGGCUGUUGAAGCUACAGAAAUGACACUUUUAAAAGUUCUCUGUGGCAUCCAAAGAGUUCCAGAGACACGGGCUCUCUCUUGCAGUAUUAUGCACCAUCUUUCAAUCCGUCUGGUUUAACAAGAUUCCCAGACGCUGCUGAUGAAAGCACCCCGAAGCAUGAUAGCAUCACAACACUUCAUCAGGUUAUUCUGAGCAGACCGCCCCGCGAGCACACGGGGGAACGCGGCCUGAAGGCACUAACAAGGAUCCAGGGCCAACUGGGGGAACUGCGCUUGUGCUGUUAUCCAACUAAUGAGUCUGCGAGGAGAAGAGAGAAAUGAGGAUGCUUUAAGAGCUUUUUAAACUAGCAUGAUAAGAGGCCGUGUUUGUGCCGGCAAUUUGGAGCGUGUUCGUGUAUCUGUUUGUUUCUUCAGCUAUUGUGUUUGUGUUACUGAGCGGACCUAUUAAAAGA